UACGGGGGGGGGCAAGCGUUGUUCGGAAUUACUGGGCGUAAAGGGCGCGUAGGCGGCCUAUUAAGUCGGACGUGAAAUCCCUCGGCUCAACCGGGGAACUGCGUCCGAUACUGGCAGGCUUGAAUCCGGGAGAGGGAUGUGGAAUUCCAGGUGUAGCGGUGAAAUGCGUAGAUAUCUGGAGGAACACCGGUGGCGAAGGCGGCAUCCUGGACCGGUAUUGACGCUGAGGCGCGAAAGCUAGGGGAGCAAACGGGGAU
rnacentral:rRNA from 1 species